rnacentral:rRNA from 1 species
AGGCCUAACACAUGCAAGUCGAGCGAGAAAGCCCGCAAGGGUGAGUACAGCGGCGCACGGGUGCGUAACACGUGAGUAAUCUGCCCUGGAGCCCGGAAUAACUCCCCGAAAGGGGUGCUAAUGCCGGAUGAGCCCACGGGGUCUUCGGACCUUGAGGGAAAAGGUGGCCUCUGUAUACAAGCUAUCACUUCAGGAUGAGCUCGCGGCCCAUCAGCUAGUUGGCGGGGUAAUGGCCCACCAAGGCUACGACGGGUAGCUGGUCUGAGAGGACGAUCAGCCACACUGGAACUGAGACACGGUCCAGACUCCUACGGGAGGCAGCAGUGGGGAAUCUUGCGCAAUGGGCGAAAGCCUGACGCAGCAACGCCGCGUGUGUGAUGAAGGUCUUCGGAUCGUAAAGCACUGUCGCGAGGGACGAAUAAGGGUCGGGUGAACAAUCCGGUCCGAUGACGGUACCUCGAGAGGAAGCACCGGCUAACUCUGUGCCAGCAGCCGCGGUAAUACAGAGGGUGCAAGCGUUGUUCGGAAUUAUUGGGCGUAAAGCGCGUGUAGGCGGCCAUGCAAGUUGGGUGUGAAAGCCCUCGGCUUA